AUGAUUCCAUGACAUGAAACAAUGAGAGAAAAACCACAACGCAAGUCUCUCCAUAACUCCACUUGCCUAAUCCGAAACUCCAACCAAAUUAGCGAAGUAACUCCACACCGCCAAUGCUAUUGGCCCUACAAUAAAAUGGUGAUUACUGGUUUCCACUGAGCUCUCACAGCAACAACAUCUGGAUGCUAACAUCAGCCCCUUCUGCUAUAGGUGAACAUCCAAUGGAAGCCAUCAUCUCAGUAACCUCUAUGCAAAAAAAAAGAUUUUUAGUGGAACCACCGGACUUCAUAUGAAAGAGUCAACCACCGACAAAUUCCUUUUCAACCGAACCUACUCCCAAGCUGUGGAAACUGAAAACUCCCCCAUGGAAGAAGCCAUCCAUGCCAACUGGUCCUUACGACCCGGAAAGAUAUGCAGCUUUAGUAUUUGAGACACAAAGAAUUUCUAAAGUAAUUGAU
rnacentral:lncRNA from 1 species